rnacentral:rRNA from 1 species
AGUGGCGCACGGGUGCGUAACGCGUGGGAACCUGCCCUUAGGUUCGGAAUAACUCAGAGAAAUUUGAGCUAAUACCGGAUAAUGUCUUCGGACCAAAGAUUUAUCGCCUUUGGAUGGGCCCGCGUUGGAUUAGCUAGUUGGUGGGGUAAAGGCCUACCAAGGCGACGAUCCAUAGCUGGUCUGAGAGGAUGAUCAGCCACACUGGGACUGAGACACGGCCCAGACUCCUACGGGAGGCAGCAGUGGGGAAUAUUGGACAAUGGGCGAAAGCCUGAUCCAGCAAUGCCGCGUGAGUGAUGAAGGCCUUAGGGUUGUAAAGCUCUUUUACCAGGGAUGAUAAUGACAGUACCUGGAGAAUAAGCUCCGGCUAACUCCGUGCCAGCAGCCGCGGUAAUACGGAGGGAGCUAGCGUUGUUCGGAAUUACUGGGCGUAAAGCGCACGUAGGCGGCUUUUUAAGUCAGGGGUGAAAUCCCGGGGCUCAACCCCGGAACUGCCCUUGAAACUGGGAAGCUAGAAUCUUGGAGAGGCGAGUGGAAUUCCGAGUGUAGAGGUGAAAUUCGUAGAUAUUCGGAAGAACACCAGUGGCGAAGGCGACUCGCUGGACAAGUAUUGACGCUGAGGUGCGAAAGCGUGGGGAGCAAGCAGGAUUAGAUACCCUGGUAGUCCACGCCGUAAACGAUGAUAACUAGCUGUCCGGG